rnacentral:rRNA from 1 species
UACGUAGGUGGCAAGCGUUGUCCGGAAUUAUUGGGCGUAAAGCGCGCGCAGGCGGUUCUUUAAGUCUGAUGUGAAAGCCCACGGCUCAACCGUGGAGGGUCAUUGGAAACUGGGGAACUUGAGUGCAGAAGAGGAGAGCGGAAUUCCACGUGUAGCGGUGAAAUGCGUAGAGAUGUGGAGGAACACCAGUGGCGAAGGCGGCUCUCUGGUCUGUAACUGACGCUGAGGCGCGAAAGCGUGGGGAGCAAACAGG